ACAUGAGAGAAAAAGCCUAUGGCCAGCAGCAGGACUACUCGAAAGCUGACAUGAAAUCUGGGACUCCAAAAUACAAGUGCCUGUGCUGAACCUGAACAUGAUGAAACUAUCCUAUUGCAAUUCAAAUCAACUGGACCUACCACUGGCCAGAGCAGUGAGACCCAAAACACAGACAGUGGACAAGAAAAACAGGACUGAGAAGCCAGAGGCCUGAGCUCCAGAUCUUGUUCCUCUUCCCAAGCAAGGAGACCCUUGAAUCACUAUCUAAGCACUUCCUCAUGUCUUAGCUUCCUCAUCUGAAGAAUGUCUUCACAAGAUUAUGAGAAUCAAAUGAAGUCAGUAAUAUUAAGCACUCUGAAAACUUCAAAUGCUAUAAAAACACUAAGUGCUGCUAUCAUAAUUAAUACAUUCUUUGGAAAAAAGGUGCCAAAUACACAUGAAUUCCAGAUUUACCAAUGUAGGAAUUGAGGCAGACAGAAGAGCACAC